CGCAUGGUGGGUGUUGGAAAGAUUUAUCGGUUUUGGAUGGACUCGCGGCCUAUCAGCUUGUUGGUGAGGUAAUGGCUCACCAAGGCGACGACGGGUAGCCGGCCUGAGAGGGUGACCGGCCACACUGGGACUGAGACACGGCCCAGACUCCUACGGGAGGCAGCAGUGGGGAAUAUUGCACAAUGGGCGCAAGCCUGAUGCAGCGACGCCGCGUGAGGGAUGACGGCCUUCGGGUUGUAAACCUCUUUCAGUAGGGAAGAAGCGAAAGUGACGGUACCUGCAGAAGAAGCACCGGCUAACUACGUGCCAGCAGCCGCGGUAAUACGUAGGGUGCGAGCGUUAUCCGGAAUUAUUGGGCGUAAAGAGCUCGUAGGCGGUUUGUCGCGUCUGUCGUGAAAGUCCGGGGCUUAACCCCGGAUCUGCGGUGGGUACGGGCAGACUAGAGUGCAGUAGGGGAGACUGGAAUUCCUGGUGUAGCGGUGGAAUGCGCAGAUAUCAGGAGGAACACCGAUGGCGAAGGCAGGUCUCUGGGCUGUAACUGACGCUGAGGACGAAAGCAUGGGGAGCGAACAGGAUUAGAUACCCUGGUAGUCCAUGCCGUAAACGUUGGGCACUAGGUGUGGGGACCAUUCCACGGUUUCCGCGCCGCAGCUAACGCAUUAAGUGCCCCGCCUGGGGAGUACGGCCGCAAGGCUAAAACUCAAAGGAAUUGACGGGGGCCCGCACAAGCGGCGGAGCAUGCGGAUUAAUUCGAUGCAACGCGAAGAACCUUACCAAGGCUUGACAUGUUCUCGAUCGCCGUAGAGAUACGGUUUCCCCUUUGGGGCGGGUUCACAGGUGGUGCAUGGUUGUCGUCAGCUCGUGUCGUGAGAUGUUGGGUUAAGUCCCGCAACGAGCGCAACCCUCGUUCCAUGUUGCCAGCACGUCGUGGUGGGGACUCAUGGGAGACUGCCGGGGUCAACUCGGAGGAAGGUGAGGACGACGUCAAAUCAUCAUGCCCCUUAUGUCUUGGGCUUCACGCAUGCUACAAUGGCCGGUACAAUGGGUUGCGAUACUGUGAGGUGGAGCUAAUCCCAAAAAGCCGGUCUCAGUUCGGAUUGGGGUCUGCAACUCGACCC
rnacentral:rRNA from 1 species